AGUGAACGCUGGCGGUAGGCCUAACACAUGCAAGUCGAACGGCAGCACAGUAAGAGCUUGCUCUUACGGGUGGCGAGUGGCGGACGGGUGAGGAAUACAUCGGAAUCUACUUUUUCGUGGGGGAUAACGUAGGGAAACUUACGCUAAUACCGCAUACGACCUACGGGUGAAAGCAGGGGAUCUUCGGACCUUGCGCGAUUGAAUGAGCCGAUGUCGGAUUAGCUAGUUGGCGGGGUAAAGGCCCACCAAGGCGACGAUCCGUAGCUGGUCUGAGAGGAUGAUCAGCCACACUGGAACUGAGACACGGUCCAGGCUCCUACGGGAGGCAGCAGUGGGGAAUAUUGGACAAUGGGCGCAAGCCUGAUCCAGCCAUACCGCGUGGGUGAAGAAGGCCUUCGGGUUGUAAAGCCCUUUUGUUGGGAAAGAAAAGCAGCAUGUUAAUACCCCGCUGUUCUGACGGUACCCAAAGAACAAGCACCGGCUAACUUCGUG
rnacentral:rRNA from 1 species